CAGCCGCCGCGGGAAUACAGAGGGUGCGAGCGUUAAUCGGAUUUACUGGGCGUAAAGCGUGCGUAGGCGGCUUCUUAAGUCGGAUGUGAAAUCCCUGAGCUUAACUUAGGAAUUGCAUUCGAUACUGGGAAGCUAGAGUAUGGGAGAGGAUGGUAGAAUUCCAGGUGUAGCGGUGAAAUGCGUAGAGAUCUGGAGGAAUACCAAUGGCGAAGGCAGCCAUCUGGCCUAAUACUGACGCUGAGGUACGAAAGCAUGGGGAGCAAACAGGAUUAGAGACCCCAGUAGUCCCUGUCUCUUAUAC
rnacentral:rRNA from 1 species